rnacentral:lncRNA from 1 species
AAGGCAUCAGAAGAAGGAAAACUAAAAGGCAAACAAGCCACAACUAUCAUUUUAGCUAUUUCUUCUCGGUCCCUCAAUUUAUUAUAUUUCUUCGCUACGUGACCGGUUGCUGGGUCCAUUCUAGUUUGCGUUGGGCCACCAAUAUCCCCACCACCUUGUGAAAUAUUUAACUCUCUUUUGUGAUCUUCUGCUAUAUGUCUCAUUAACGUACCCAUAUCCCCUUGCUUGCCUCCACUUCUAUGCUUAUAUAUUUGUUGACAAAUAUUGCAUUGCACCUCAAUAUCUGAUAUAUGUUCAAAAAAUUGUCAUGCAACACU